CCUACGGGGGGCUGCAGUGGGGAAUAUUGCACAAUGGGCGAAAGCCUGAUGCAGCAACGCCGCGUGAGCGAUGAAGGUCUUCGGGUCGUAAAGCUCUGUCCUAAGGGAAGAAUACUGACGGUACCUUAGGAGGAAGCCCCGGCUAACUACGUGCGAGCAGCCGCGGUAAUACGUAGGGGGCUAGCGUUAUCCGGAAUUACUGGGCGUAAAGGGUGCGUAGGCGGCCCUUAAAGUCAGAGGUGAAAGGCUACGUCUCAACCGUAGUAAGCCUGUGAAAUUGUAGGGCUUGAGUGCAGGAGAGUAGAGUGGAACUCCCAGUGUAGCGGUUAAAUGCGUAGAUAUUGGGAGGAACAACAUUUGCGAAGGCUGCUCUCUGGACUGUAACUGACGAUGAGGCACGAAAGUGUGGGGAGCGAACAAGAUUAGAUACCCGAGUAGUC
rnacentral:rRNA from 1 species